CGCCACUGCCCAGGUCGACUACCACUCCCGGGCACCUCGGGAAGCGAACCAGAGACUGUCCCCUCCGCCAGCAUCCUAGAAGGCCAGGAAAGAGACGAGCUGAGCGCCUCCUUAAAGCUGCGCAGACUGCCCUCAAUCCCUCCCCCCUGGAGCUCCAACUGGUAGUCCCCUGCAUCAGCCUUGCCCAGCUUCUCCUUUCCUCCUCAGCUCAACUCCUGCUUGCCCUUCGGGAGACCCACCCUGGCCACCCUACAGAGGAGGUGCCCUUACCUGUGCCCGGGUGGGGUGCGGGGUCACAGGCCUGGCAUGUGUGAAUCAAUGUCUUCAGUUGCCCUGAAGUAGAGCGUAUCUUGUUGACCUUGAACUUCGGCAUUGAAGGACCCCUCUCCUGAGCUCUCAGCAUCACCUUUGGAGACGCCUAAUAGGAUGUGAGCAUCGUGUACUCUUCCUUCCAUUGCUCACAAAUGUGGCUGCUGCUUGCACACCAAGAACCAUCCUUAACAUGUAGGAGGCACUGGACAUCACUGAUUAAGGAGUGGCAUAUGUAAGCCUGGCUUAUUCACAGGAGUGACUCAUGCCCUGGGACACAAGGCCUUGUCUAGUGUCACAACCCCUUUAGGCAACUAGAUCCUUGUCUUUGAGUAUAAAUGCUUCAGGAGAAACAGCAAUGAUAACCAGGUGCAGACUUGACAAGAAUAAUGCUGCUGUAUGGAUCGGGGAAGUGGCUCAGUUGGACGGUUCUUGCCAUGCAAGCAGGAGAAGCUGAGUUUGGAUCCCAGCACGCAGAGAAAAGCACCACAGCGUACGUGUAUGACCCCUGCACUGGGGCAAGCGGUGAAGCACAGAGAAAGAAGGGUCCCUGGAAUGUGUUGGCCAUGCAGGCAGGCCAAACUGCUAAGCUUCAGGAGCAGUGAGCGUAUUGGUUACUUCUCUGUUGCUGUGACCAAAACACCAUAACUUAAAGAAGGAAGAGUUUAUGUAGGGGCUACAGUCCCAGAGGAGGAGAAAUGGUAUCAGAAGACCAAAACAGGAAGCUAAGAAAUCAUAGCUUCAACUGUAAACACAAAGUAGAAAGCAAAAAUGUACGGAUGAAGCUAUGAACCCUCAAAACUGUCCCCAAUGACAUAUUUCUUCCAACAAGGCUGUUUUACCCCACUAAACAUCUCUACAACCAAGUAUUCA
rnacentral:lncRNA from 1 species